AGAGUUUGAUCCUGGCUCAGAACGAACGCUGGCGGCAUGCCUAACACAUGCAAGUCGAACGAGACCUUCGGGUCUAGUGGCGCACGGGUGCGUAACGCGUGGGAAUCUGCCCUUUGCUUCGGAAUAACAGUUAGAAAUGACUGCUAAUACCGGAUGAUGUCUUCGGACCAAAGAUUUAUCGGCAAAGGAUGAGCCCGCGUAGGAUUAGGUAGUUGGUGGGGUAAAGGCCUACCAAGCCGACGAUCCUUAGCUGGUCUGAGAGGAUGAUCAGCCACACUGGGACUGAGACACGGCCCAGACUCCUACGGGAGGCAGCAGUGGGGAAUAUUGGACAAUGGGCGCAAGCCUGAUCCAGCAAUGCCGCGUGAGUGAUGAAGGCCUUCGGGUCGUAAAGCUCUUUUACCAGGGAUGAUAAUGACAGUACCUGGAGAAUAAGCUCCGGCUAACUCCGUG
rnacentral:rRNA from 1 species